GUGCUCACUUGGGCAGUACGUAUGCUACAAAUGGAAUGGUGCAGAGAAGAUUAGCAUGGCCCUGUGCAAGGAGAAAAAUUAAGAUGGAGAAAACAGGGGCACCUGG
ensembl:snRNA U6 U6 spliceosomal RNA